UGAAAUUCUAAACUCUUUGUUGGCAUCUAAAUAUGUCAAUAAGAGCAAUUUGCCACUACUCUACUACUUUCACUAAAACACAGAUCCUUUCAUUUUACACUUGCACCUUCAGUGAUGACUGAACUUGUACUUUGCUAUUCACCUAUAAAAUAUCUUUUCCUUUCUAAAUUGGUUAUAUUCUCUAAUAGAGAAAGGAAAUGUUAAAUC